rnacentral:rRNA from 1 species
AUUGAACGCUGGCGGCAGGCCUAACACAUGCAAGUCGAACGGUAGCACAGAGAGCUUGCUCUCGGGUGACGAGUGGCGGACGGGUGAGUAAUGUCUGGGAAACUGCCCGAUGGAGGGGGAUAACUACUGGAAACGGUAGCUAAUACCGCAUAACGUCGCAAGACCAAAGUGGGGGACCUUCGGGCCUCACACCAUCGGAUGUGCCCAGAUGGGAUUAGCUAGUAGGUGGGGUAAUGGCUCACCUAGGCGACGAUCCCUAGCUGGUCUGAGAGGAUAGCCAGCCCCACGGGAACUGAGACACGGUCCAGACUCCUACGGGAGGCAGCAGUGGGGAAUAUUGCACAAUGGGCGCAAGCCUGAUGCAGCCAUGCCGCGUGUAUGAAGAAGGCCUUCGGGUUGUAAAGUACUUUCAGCGGGGAGGAAGGCGGUGAAGUUAAUAACUUCACCGAUUGACGUUACCCGCAGAAGAAGCACCGGCUAACUCCGUGCCAGCAGCCGCCGUAA